rnacentral:rRNA from 1 species
GACGAACGCUGGCGGCGUGCCUAAUACAUGCAAGUAGAACGCUGAAGGAGGAGCUUGCUCUUCUGGAUGAGUUGCGAACGGGUGAGUAACGCGUAGGUAACCUGCCUGGUAGCGGGGGAUAACUAUUGGAAACGAUAGCUAAUACCGCAUAACAGUAGAUGUUGCAUGACAUUUACUUAAAAGGUGCAAUUGCAUCACUACCAGAUGGACCUGCGUUGUAUUAGCUAGUUGGUGGGGUAACGGCUCACCAAGGCGACGAUACAUAGCCGACCUGAGAGGGUGAUCGGCCACACUGGGACUGAGACACGGCCCAGACUCCUACGGGAGGCAGCAGUAGGGAAUCUUCGGCAAUGGACGGAAGUCUGACCGAGCAACGCCGCGUGAGUGAAGAAGGUUGUCGGAUCGUAAAGCUCUGUUGUAAGAGAAGAACGAGUGUGAGAGUGGAAAGUUCACACUGUGACGGUAGCUUACCAGAAAGGGACGGCUAACUACGUG